UUGCACGCCCAACUAGUGAUGCGAUAUUUAUUUAUCGAUAUACCGAGCUUUGACGACGACAAGCCGACCCCGUGUCAUUGGCAUUUUGUUUACCGCGCCGAGGGCGAAGUUCGCAGCGAUAACGUCGAGAAUGGUAAACAAGUAAGCGAGACGGGUAUAAAUUCGGUGUCCCAAUAAAAGGAGUUCAUCCGCACAAAGAUGGCGUCAUCGCGGCCUAGACAAGGCCGAGCGGUCAUUUGUACGAUACGCCAGACGAGUGCUUUGUCUGUCGAGUACAUAUAUUUAUGUACUUUUAAUAGUACCUACUUGAUGGAAAAUUUUCCAUCAUUUUAUUUGACCCCACAUCGAUUCAGGUUUCUAUUUAAAUUGUACCAGUGACUAUUAAAAUGCCAAAGAUCCAUAAAGGAUUUUUGUGUAUUGUGA